rnacentral:rRNA from 1 species
GACAGAGGGUGCAAACGUUGUUCGGAAUUACUGGGCGUAAAGCGCUUGUAGGCGGUCCACCAAGUUUGGGGUGACAGUUGCCGACUUAAUCGGCAAAGUGCCUCAAAGACUGGCGGACUUGAGGGCCACAGAGGGACAUGGAACUCCAGGUGUAGUGGUGAAAUGCGUAGAUAUCUGGAAGAACACCAAAGGCGAAGGCAGUGUCCUGGGUGGUCGCUGACGCUGAGAGGCGAAAGCCAGGGGAGCGAACGGG